GAGAUCUCUACAACGUGCCAAUAUACGGACGAUGAGAUCCAGCCUGUAGCAAAGGCUGGCUCCUCUAAGGCGGGCGAUGUAUGAAUAGGAGACUCACAGGCAGUCCCGUCCUUGCAAUAUUCAGGUUUAGUUUUCAACAGCAGGAAAUGAAUGAGAAUGAUCUCGCUCUUCAGUCCACUCUGUCAAAGUCCGUGUGAAGGUCAGGAACGAGAAGUAGCCCCCUUGCUGGCUGGAUAUGCCAUAUAAACCUAGAGCGUCUUUCGAUGCCUGAGCCCGCAUUUAAACGCAUUUAAACCACUCUAAAGUCGCCUGCUGGGCAGGUCUCAGCCACACCCCUCUGCAGGGUCCCACCAGUUGCCUGUAACCUUCCGGGCCCUCCAGGCCUCUGUCUGUCCUUCGCAAUGCAGUCAGGGUGAUGUUUCUAACGUGAAACCUGAAUGGCGCCGCAUUUAUGCCUUCACAUAGCAGAUUUGGGUCCACGUUGCCCCCUGGAGCACAAGCUGUCUGAAAUUGCUUCUGGUCCAUGCACGCACCGUGCGCCCCUGGUGCAGGCACCCGCUGUCCCCAACACACUGCACUAUUUCUCACUUCGUUCCCACGAGACUUCCUCACCCUUCAAGACUUGCACCAGAAGCUCCGUGGACCAUCUUUGAGAUGAAUAUCAGCCCUGUGGACCCAGAGGGACUUCUAUGCUUAGUUACAGAUCUUUCUAGAGGUUGUCCGGAGGACAGGAGCAAUUCUCCCCUGGAGUCCAAGCGAUUCUUGUCUGUAAGGAUGGGCGCUUUCGCUAUCACGUGUGUAGGUGCCAAUCACAGGGCACGAAUCACACCAGAUACCCAUGAAAAGACAAUUCUUUAAAGGAAUAAAAGUCACCGGGAGAGAGAGACAUGGGCCUCCAGUGGCUUUCGCGGCUGUGUUUGAUCUUUCUUUCUUACCAGCAGGUGGCGCGCCAGCCCCACGUUUUAACUCUCCAGCUUUGCGGUUUUGCUGUAAAGGCACUAAUUCGGCUGUUAAGGGAGGAGAUGAUAAUUUACGCACUGUUUACAGAAUAAAGCUGAUUUA